CCUACGGGAGGCAGCAGUGAGGAAUAUUGGUCAAUGGGCGCGAGCCUGAACCAGCCAAGUCGCGUGAGGGAAGACGGCCCUACGGGUUGUAAACCUCUUUUGCCGGGGAGCAACGGGCGCCACGUGUGGCGCCACUGAGAGUACCCGGAGAAAAAGCAUCGGCUAACUCCGUGCCAGCAGCCGCGGUAAUCCGUAGGGGGCAAGCGUUAUCCGGAUUUACUGGGUGUAAAGGGAGCGCAGACGGCAAUGCAAGCCUGGAGUGAAAGGCGGGGGCCCAACCCCCGGACUGCUCUGGGAACUGUAUAGCUAGAGUGCAGGAGAGGCAAGUGGAAUUCCUAGUGUAGCGGUGAAAUGCGUAGAUAGUAGGAGGAACACCAGUGGCGAAGGCGGCUUGCUGGACUGUAACUGACGUUGAGGCUCGAAAGCGUGGGGAGCAAACAGGAUUAGAUACCCCUGUAGUC
rnacentral:rRNA from 1 species